rnacentral:rRNA from 1 species
AAAUUGAAGAGUUUGAUCAUGGCUCCAGGUAGAGCCUUUGGCGGCGGGCCUAACAUGCAAGUCGAACGGUAACGAGGAAGCAGCACUUGCUGCUUCGCUGACAGUGGCGGACGGGUGAGAGUAAUGUCUGGGAAACUGCCUGAUGGAGGAGAGAGGGAUAACUACUGGAAACGGUGGCUAAUACCGCACAUAACGUGUCCUGCAAGACCAAGGGACUUGCUGGGAAAACACGCCGCAUCAGAUAUUGCCCAGAUGGGGAUGAAAGCUUGUUGGUGAGGUAACGGCUCACCAAGGCGACGAUCUAGCUGGUCUGAGAGGAUGACCAGCCACACUGGAACUGAACACGGUCCAGACUCCUACAGGAGGCAGCAGUGGGGAAUAUUGCACAAUAGGCGCAAGCCUGAUGCAGCCAUGCCGCGUGUAUGAAGAAGGCCUUCGGGUUGUAAAGUACUUUCAGCGGGGAGGAAGGUGGUAUGGUUAAUAACCGCAGCAAUUGACGUUACCCGCAGAAGAAGCACCAGCUAACUCCGUGCCAGCAGCCGCGGUAAUACGGAAGGGUGCAAGCGUUAAUCGGAAUUACUGGGCGUAAAGAAAGCGCACGCGACGGUCUGUCCAAGUCCGGAUGUGAAAUCCCCGGCUCAACACAGAACUGCAUUCCAGGCGGAAGCGCGGAGUCUUUAGCAGAGGGGGUAGAAUUCCGAGGUGUAGCAGCGGUGAAGUAACGUAGAGAUCUGGAGGAAUACCGGUGGCGAAGAGCGGCCCCACGGACAAGACUGACGCUCAGGUGCAGCGUGAGGGAGCAAGCAGAGUUAAGAUACCACUGGUAGUCCCGCCGUAAACGAUGUCUGCUGGAGGUUGUGCGCUUGAGGCGUGGCUUCGGAGCUAACGCGUUAAGUAGCGGAGCCGCACGAAAGUACGGCCGCAGGGUUGGCUCAAAUGAGGUGACGGGGGACCCGCACAAGCGGUGGGCAUGUGGUUUAAUUCGAUGCAACGCGAAGAACACGAUGCUUGACAUCACAGGAGCUUUCCAGAGAUGGACUGGCUGGUGCCUUCGGGAACUGUGAGACAGGUGCUGCAUGGCUGUCGUCAGCUCGUGUUGUGAAAUGUUGGGUUAGAAUCCCGCAACGAAGCGCCAGCCCUUAUCCUUUAUUUGCCAGCGAGAGUUGAGCCCGGGAACUCAAAGGAAGACUGCCAGUGAUAAACUGGAGAAGGUGGGAUGACGUCAGAAUUAAAUGUCAUGGCCCUUACGACGGGGGGCUACACGUGCUACAAUGGCGCAUACAAGAGAAGCGACCUCGCGAGAGCAAAGCGGACCUGUAAGUGCACGUCGUAGUCCCGGAUUGGAGUCUGCAACUCGACUCCAUGAAGUCGGAAUCGCUGACAAUCGUGGAUCAGAAUGCCACGGUGAAUACGUUCCGGGCGCUUGUACACACCGCCCGUCACACCAUGGGAGUGGGUUGCAAAAGUAAGGUAGCAACCUUCGGAGGGCGCUUACCACUUUGUGAUUCAUGACUGGGGAGGUGAAGUCGUAACAAGGUAACCGUAGAGAGGUCUGCGGUUGGAUCACCUCCUUA